GUGAGGAAUAUUGGUCAAUGGGCGAAAGCCUGAACCAGCCAAGUAGCGUGCAGGAUGACGGCCCUAUGGGUUGUAAACUGCUUUUAUACAGGAAUAAAGUUAGCCACGUGUGGUUAUUUGUAGGUACUGUAUGAAUAAGGACCGGCUAAUUCCGUGCCAGCAGCCGCGGUAAUACGGAAGGUCCAGGCGUUAUCCGGAUUUAUUGGGUUUAAAGGGAGCGUAGGCCGUCUGUUAAGCGUGUUGUGAAAUGUAGAUGCUCAACAUCUGAAUUGCAGCGCGAACUGGCAGACUUGAGUGUGCGCAACGUAGGCGGAAUUCGUGGUGUAGCGGUGAAAUGCUUAGAUAUCACGAAGAACUCCGAUUGCGAAGGCAGCUUACGGGAGCACAACUGACGCUGAAGCUCGAAAGUGCGGGUAUCGAACAGGAUUAGAAACCCUGGUAGUCC
rnacentral:rRNA from 1 species